rnacentral:rRNA from 1 species
UACGGCGGUUCCAAGCGUUGUUCGGAAUUACUGGGCGUAAAGGGGGCGCAGGCGGCCUGGUCAGUGGAAAGUGGAAGCCCGGGGCUCAACCUCGGAAGGCCUUUCCAUACUGCCUGGCUUGAGUUCGUGAGAGGGAAGCGGAAUUCAGGGUGUAGCGGUGAAAUGCUUAGAUAUCCUGAGGAACACCGAUGGCGAAAGCAGCUUCCUGGCACGAUACUGACGCUCAUGCCCGAAAGCGUGGGGAGCGAACAGG